GAGUUUGAUCCUGGCUCAGAUUGAACGCUGGCGGCGUGCCUAACACAUGCAAGUCGAGCGGUAACAGGUGUAGCAAUACAUGCUGACGAGCGGCGAACGGGUGAGUAAUGCUUUGGAAUCUUCCCAGUAGUGGGGAAUAACCAGUCGAAAGAUUGGCUAAUACCGCAUAUGUCUGUAAAGGGAAAGCGGGGGCUCGUAAGACCUCGCGCUAUUGGAUGAGCCAAAGUCGGAUUAGCUAGUUGGUGGGGUAAUGGCCUACCAAGGCGACAAUCCGUAGCUGGUCUGAGAGGACGACCAGCCACACCGGAACUGAGACACGGUCCGGACUCCUACGGGAGGCAGCAGUGGGGAAUAUUGGACAAUGGGGGAAACCCUGAUCCAGCGACGCCGCGUGUGUGAAGAAGGCCUGCGGGUUGUAAAGCACUUUUAGUGGGGACAAAAAGCUACGGAUUAAUACUCUGUGGUCUUGAUUUAACCCAAAGAAAAAGCACCGGCUAACUCUGUGCCAGCAGCCGCGGUAAUACAGAGGGUGCGAGCGUUAAUCGGAAUUACUGGGCGUAAAGCGCGCGUAGACGGUUUUGUAAGUCAGAUGUGAAAUCCCUGGGCUCAACCUGGGAACUGCAUUUGAGACUGCAUGGCUAGAGUAUCGAAGAGGGAAGUGGAAUUUCCGGUGUAGCGGUGAAAUGCGUAGAUAUCGGAAGGAACACCAGUGGCGAAAGCGACUUCCUGGUCGAAUACUGACGUUCAUGUGCGAAAGCGUGGGGAGCAAACAGGAUUAGAUACCCUGGUAGUCCACGCCAUAAACGAUGACAACUAGAUGUUGGGAGGGUCUGCCUCUCGGUGUCGCAGCUAACGCGUUAAGUUGUCCGCUGGGGAGUACGGCCGCAGGUUGAAACUCAAAGGAAUUGACGGGACCCGCACAAGCGGUGGAACAUGUGGUUUAAUCGAUGCA
rnacentral:rRNA from 1 species